GGAAGAAUGGCAGAGAUGGUCUAAUGCACCUCACUAGAAAUGAGGAUGCCGAAAGGUAUCGUAGGUUCGAAUCCUACUUCUUCCCCCA
rnacentral:tRNA from 1 species